GUCCCCAUCGUCUAGAGGCCUAGGACAUCGCCCUUUCACGGCGGUAACCGGGGUUCGAAUCCCCGUGGGGACGCCAUUUA
rnacentral:tRNA from 1 species